rnacentral:lncRNA from 10 species
GGAAAUUCACAAACCAGGUCAUUUAUUCACUCAACAAAUAUCUCUUGAGCCCUGCUGAUAUGGUUUGGCUGUGUUCCCACUCAAAUCUCAUCUUGAAUUCCCACAUGUUGUGGGAGGGACCCAGUAGAAGGUAAUUGAGUCAUGGGGAUGGGUCUUUCCCAUGCUGUCCUCAUGACAGUGAAUAAGUCUCAUGAGAUCUGAUAGUUUUAAAAAGGGGAGUGAAUAAGUCUCAUGAGAUCUGAUCAUUUUGAAAAGGGGAGCACAAGCUCUUUCUGUUUGCCUGCUGCCAUCCAUGUGAGACAUGAUUUGCUCCUCCUUGCCUUUCACCGUGAUUGUGAGGCCUCCCCAGCCAUGUGGAAGACUACAACAGGAGGAACAUCAGAGCAUUGACCUUGGUGUUAAACUGGGGAGGAGAGAAUAAGAUGGAGCAGCCCGGGCAGUUGGCCCCUCUGAAAGGCACCAGCCUCAUCGAAGUUCUUCCAGUUCCGAGGAAAGCGGGAGUACGGAGGGUCACCAGCUCCACCCAGGUCCACGGCGAGUUAGUACAGCCACGGAGGAGAGAGUGGGGAAUCCACAGCAGAUCAUGGGCUCCAGGGCUGAGGGACACCCAGUGAGAAGCAGAGAUGAUGCACUAGGGGGGUGGCUCAAUAAAGAUGGCCUGGAACGCAGCCGCUGCCCCAAUCCAAGAAACAGUGGUGGCCCACACCCAACGGCUGGCCAGGGGACGGCUUCCACAGCUCAGGUUCAAGUGAAAGGGUAGGGUGCACGUGGACUUUUGUUGUGAUCCCCCACAUGGUCUUUCUAAAUGUGUUCAGUAACUCCUAUCCUGAUCUUGCUGCACAUCAUCUCCUCCUCUUCAUCUAACUUUAAAAAGGUAAAACUUCCAGGCAGGUGGAUUACUUGAGGUUAGGAAUUUGAGACCAGCCUGAUUGGUGAAACCACAAACUACUAAAAAUAUAAAAAAUUAGCUGAGCGUGGUGGCACGUGCCUGUAAUCCUAGCUACACGGGAGGCUGAGGCAAGAGAAUCAGUUGAAA